GCCACCUUAGCUUUAGUGGUAGAGCAAGGCUUUCGUAAAGCCGAGGUCCCGGGUUCGAGUCCCGGAGGUGGCU
rnacentral:tRNA from 1 species